rnacentral:rRNA from 1 species
AACGAACGCUGGCGGCAUGCCUAACACAUGCAAGUCGAACGAGGCCCUUCGGGGUUUAGUGGCGCACGGGUGCGUAACGCGUGGGAAUCUGCCCUUUGGUUCGGAAUAACAGCUGGAAACGGCUGCUAAUACCGGAUGAUGACGAAAGUCCAAAGAUUUAUCGCCAGAGGAUGAGCCCGCGUUGGAUUAGGUAGUUGGUGGGGUAAAGGCCUACCAAGCCGACGAUCCAUAGCUGGUCUGAGAGGAUGAUCAGCCACACUGGGACUGAGACACGGCCCAGACUCCUACGGGAGGCAGCAGUGGGGAAUAUUGGACAAUGGGCGCAAGCCUGAUCCAGCAAUGCCGCGUGAGUGAUGAAGGCCCUAGGGUUGUAAAGCUCCUUUACCCGGGAAGAUAAUGACUGUACCGGGAGAAUAAGCCCCGGCUAACUCCGUGCCAGCU